CUAUAAUUAUUUCCAUAUACACACAUCCUGGCAACAUGUUAUUUUGCUGCCACCAUGCAAGAAUUUCCAUUUCAACAACAUUUUUUCUUUAUUCUUUCAUUUACAUUUCAGCUGCCAUGUUUUUAAAUGUACUAGAAACACGUAAUGCUGAAUUGUAAACAGAGGAGGAGAGGAGGGGAAAACAACAGCAGCAGUAUUAUUACGAAAUGUUAAAUUUACUGCAAUAAAUUUUAAUUAUAAUGUUUCAAACCAAGCAAAUGAACCAAAUUCUUACCUAUGACUUAAAUAACGCCGAUGUGAAUUCAUGCACGAACUAACUAGCUUGCUCCGUUGAGGUGGAGAUGGAGGUGUUUUCUGGUAUACUGGUGUUUCUGCAACAAUGUAGAGAAAUAAAGAAAAUUAUUAUUAUUAAAUAAAUAAUUGAUAUAAUUGGUUUAUUCCGCAAUAAAUUACAGAUUUCUAAAAGA